rnacentral:lncRNA from 10 species
CCCAGCUACUCAGGAGGUUGAGACAGGAGAACUGCUUGAACCCGGGAGGUGGAGGUUACAGUGAGCCAAGAUCACGCCAUUGCACUCCAGCCUGGGCAACAGAGUGAGACUUCAUCUCAAAUAAUAAUAAUAAUCCAGGCAAGAGAUAAUGAUGAGUUGAACUAAGAUGCUGGAGAAAUGAGGACAGAUUUGAGAGCUGGAUGACGGGUAGAAUGAAAAAGCCUUAGUGGCUGGCAGUAUAUAGAUUUGGGGGAGUCAAGGAUGACUCCAACCUGAGCAGCAGGGUGGUUGGUGAGUCUAUUUUCCAAGCCAUGGAACACUGGAAGAAGACACGGUUUGGGCUGAGAUGGGAGAAAUGAUGAGCUCAAUCUUGGACAAUACGGCAAAUCAAAGCUGAUUUUCAUUCCUAUGCUAAGAGGAGAGGUGUUGUCCAGAAGAAUAAACCAUCUCACCGAAGAGAAGGGUAAAAAUAAGGGAAAAUUAUACAAGACUGACCCCAUUGUUACAGUUGAUUGGUUUACAGUGGCAAGACAUCAGAACCACAUGAUGGGUCCACUUAAUGGAUGGGUUUUUGAGAAUGGCUGGUAAGCGGGUGCCAUGUUAGUUCUGGGUCAGAUUGAAAGGUCAUGCCUAGUUCCUUUUCCAGCCACUGUGCGACUCUCUUCAAAAUAUAGAGAAAUCAUUGGGGGGAAAAGCAAAGAACACACCCUCACACCGUGACCAUUCUCCCACUUGGUUGUCAGAGUCCCACUUUUCUAACCACAGGGUCUCCAGUGCAAGCUCAGAGAUGAGAGAGAGGAAUAAAAUAUCUUUUUACAAUGAUCAUAAUAAUCCCCAAUCUCUGCUCUCCCUGGAGGCUUAUUUUGAAAAUCACAGCGAUUUAACUUGUUAGCAGUUUAAUUCACUUUUAAAAGAUUAACCAGACUAAUUAUUCAUCAGAUUUCACCAUCAUUGUCAGCCUCAAUAAGGAUCUUUUGUUACAAUGAUUAAUGUGUUUUAAUUGUAUCUUCUCUCAGAGCAAUAAUUCGAUCGCACAGUAUUUGCCGAAUCUAUGGAAAUCUUGGAAAUGCUUUGACAGCUGAGCUAUUCUUGGGAAAUGAAAGUAAAGGAAUAUAUGUAACUAACAAAAAGUGUUUUAUAGUGUAUCAUUAAUAUGGAUUUUCUUCCUCUCUGACAGAGACCUUGCUCUACCAGCUUCAGUCCAUGAAGCUGCCUGCUGUUCAGUCAGUUUGCCAUUCAGGGACAUCAUAGAUCAACUAAUACAGCUGACUAAACUGUCUCCAGUUGGUGUCUUCAAAUAUAUGCUAGUCAUAGUAAUACUCAGAGCAAAUAUAUCUAGGUCACAGGGAAAGUUAGUCAACUAGCCAGUGUCCAUAAAUAAUCAUCCAACUAAGAGACUGGAUCCUGUGUUGACCAUUUUGUUUUCUACCUAAUGCUUCAUCCUCAUUCAUUUAACUGGUGGCUGCUGUCCAAGUUAAGGGUUUUUAGAACAGCAAAAAGGUUUGGAGAACCUGAUAGAGAGAUGAAUUAUAUGUGGCCAAUACUAAUUUCAAACUUAAAAUGUGUUUUAAUAUUCUUAUUUUUUAAAGCACAGUGGUUCUAAGAGCUUUGGGAUCAGAUCUGAAUUUUAUUCUUGGCACUACUACUUAUUAAUUAUGAGAGCUUGCUGGAAAUUAGCAGGACCUAGCCUCCCUGAGCCUUGGUUUCCUCAUCUCUAAACUAGGUAUAAUAAUAUCCACCUCAUAGUGAGAAUUAAAAUGAAGUGUUACAUGUAAGACUUAGUAUACUUCCUGGACUACAGUAAGCAUUCAAUAAAUUGUUUUUGAAAAAGCGAUAGGCCUUCAUAGUGCAAGACAAUCAUAUGUACAUGAGCAUUUCAGAUGAUAACAAUUACCCUGAGAUCAGUAAGAAAGGUGUGCUGUUAUUGUUUUUGUUUGUUGUUUUCAGACAGGAAAACUGGGCACAAAGAGAUGUGGUAAUCUUUGUAAAUUGGUCAUGUAUGUUCAUCAAUAAACUACUUGAUCAAGCACGAAGUGUGCUCUACAACCCACAGAGGCUGACUUCCAUUCCUGCUUUUUCAACUGCAUCCUUGGAGGCACCAAGGGCUCUGAAUGAGCAGAGUGGUUGAGAACAGAAGUAAUUCAUUAUUUGUUGACAGACUUUAGCCCUGCUGUUGUGAUUACAUGAAUGUAGUAAUUUUUUAAAGCACAGUGGUUCUAAGAGCUUUGGGAUCAGACCAACAAAACCAGGCAUAACUUCACUUAACUCAUGUCAAGCCAAGGAGGUAAGUAUCACUCUUCCCCAAAUUUGACAGCUGAGGAUACUGAGGCUUAGAGAUAUUUAGUAAUGUGCUUUGACGGAUUCAAACCCAGAUCUGUCUGAUUCCAGAGUCUGUUUUAACCAUACACUAUUUUGCCUCCUGCCAGUCCCACUUAGAAAAAUGCAGUUUUAAACAGGGUCUAACUGAGACCUAUGAGGUCUAUAUAGUAACCAAUGACCAUUUUUUGAAUUAUUGUGCUAGUGCUUCAUACACCCUGACUCCAAAUUUUAUUUUCUUUUUUUUUGUUGAAACAGAGUCUUGCUCUGUUGCCUAGCCUGAACCGUAGUGGCACAAUCACAGCUCACUGUAGCCUCCUUCUCCCAGGUUCAAAAGAUCCCCUCACCCCAGUCUCCCAAGUAGCUGGGAUUACAGGUGUGCACCACCAUGCCUGGCUAAUUUUUAAAUUUUUUGUAGAGAUGAGGUCUCCCUGUGUUGCCCAGGCUGGUCUUGAACUCCUGGACUCAAAUAAUCCUCCUGCCUUGGCCUCCCAAAGUACUGGGAUUAGAGGAGUGAGCCACCAUGCCAGGCCUAACAUUUUCCUUAAUUUCAGGGCCACAGUUUGGGAAACCCAUUGUUCCCUCACUUGGGCAUCAGCACUGUCUGUGAAAAAGGAUUACAUGGUCAAACAUUAGAGGGUCAAUUCUUCCUUAGAUAUUUGUAACACAAAUUUGCAUAGUAAAGGCUCUGAGAAACACUAUUAUUAAAACAAAUUGUGUCAGCCGGGUGCGGUGGCUCAUGCCUAUAAUCCCAGCACUUUGGGAGGCCAAGGCUGGCAGACCAUGAGGUCAAGAGAUCAAGACCAUCCUGGCCAACAUGGUGAAACCCUGUCUCUACUAAAACACAAAAAUUAGCCAGACAUGGUGGCGGGGGCCUGUAGUCCCAGCUACUUAGGAGGCUGAGGCAGGAGAAUCGCUUGAACCCAGGAGGCGGAAGUUGCAGUGAGCCAAGAUCCUGCCACUGCACUCCAGCCUGGCAACAGAGCAAGACUCUGUCUCAAAAAAAUUAAAAAAAAAGUGUUAAACCUGAUUCCUCAACUUAUUUGACCACAAAACCCUUCUUUUUAGUUAUAAUAAUUAAGAACCUAUGGGAACUCAUUUAGAUUCAUUUAAAUAAAAAUCAUUGUGAAAUUUUUUAGCACCCAGUAUACCCCAGACUGCUCUCAGAACUUCAUAUGUAUUAACUCACGUUAUAAUAUUCUUAAUGAGGCAGGUAUUUUAAAAAUAAUCUUUUCAGGUAGGUAUUUUUAUUAAGCAGCUUUCCCAAGAUCACCAACUAGUAAGUGGCAGAGCCAGGACCUGAACUGAGGUUGCCUCUCUCUAAAGCCUAUGCUUCCUCAGCUUCCAUGGAAGAGCUAAGAAAUAGUCAGUCAUACGCAAAGGUAUGCUGUGUUUUUUCCUACUUUAAAUCUAGGAUAAAUAUGCAACACCAAAUUACCAUCUGAUCACAUGGACCCAACUAAAGGGGAAAAACAACAGGCAAAGCCACUUCUCUGAAUCGGACACUCAAAACCAUCCGAUUUGUCUGUUUGAUCUUAAUAACAACAUUCUCCCCUAUAGUGUUGUUUAAUUCUUAAAUACUUUUCAUUUGUUCCAGCUAUAGAGGUCUACUUAUAUUUUUGUAGAUGUAUUUUGAAGCAGAGGUAACACCCUCUUAUCACCGUAUCUUUUCCUGGGUAAUAAUCACUUCAAUUUUCCUCCAGGCCAAAUGGACCAAGAUCAGACAGAUAAAAAUUCUUACUUAGAAACAAUCAGGUGAUCACCCAUCAGAAUUAGGAAAGAUAUAAUUUUCUCCAGGAAGGCAAAAGGCACUCGAAUUUUCCUUUCUUUUCUCUUCACUGCUUUUCCUUUUCUUCCUUUUCUUUUACUUUAUUCAGUUUCAGGUGGAAUAAUGCCUUGAGGGAUGACAGAGUUUGGGACUCACUCACUUAACAGAAGGUACCCCAGCCUAGAAGGAGGACCAGGAGGAAAGACAGACCUCCAAAAGGGACAGAACACCCCAAGAAAGUUUUCAAGUACUAUUGUUGCCUUUUUCUUUUGAUCCUUUCUCCCCACAGAGUGGCUUUUAUUUUUAAGCAUACUUUUCCAAGUUGUUACAUUAACAAAUUUGCACUGGUUUCUUUAUCCUUGUCAUCUAAAAGACCACCUUGUCUGUGGAUGGUGAACUUUUUCUUCAUGCCAGGCCUGCUGUACUGUCUAAUGUCACAAGUGUCUGCUCACAUUAGCUCCUGGAGACUGGAGAAGAUUCCGCAUGGGGCCUUUCCAGCAAGUUGAUUUGACAGAAUGAGUCCCCAUGCUAGCUCAUGGCACUUAUCAGUUAGUCAGCCUUCCGCAGGGACAGGAAUUUAGAGUGCACCAUAUUCCACUUCCAAAUCAACUGCUGUCCCCUCAGGAAGCUGUGUGUUGCAUUAUUAAAAGAGAUGCCUUCAACCACAGGACCAUACUUAAACAUUCAUCCACAUUAAAAAAAAAAGUAGAGAGUUGGGGAGAGACAACAAAACAAUGCCCCAAACCCUUCACUGUGUUAACUCUUUCCCUCCAGGGUUCCUGCCUCCGUCAAUGAACAGUCCUGGAACUUUUACUAGUGAGCAUGAACAUUUGUAAUAUUGUGAAUGUUACCUUUAUUCAAAGGGAGUGCUUUUGCAUUACUUUGGAUGGCUAUGAAACAUUCCCCGAAAUUCUGAGAUCUUGGAGGAUGCCUGCUUUCAUCUUUACCCUCCUUCCCCUCUCCCAUUUGAGAUCCCACUCCCAGGGUCUCCAUUUGGGAGUGCCUGAACCUUUCUUACAUCUAGCUGAAAUCCCACACACUGCAAUUUGAGACUGAUCUUUUUUGCUCUGACUUCAGUGUAAGUCGAUGAUGGAAUUGGGGAAUAAUAUUGUUAUGGGCUGAACUCUGUCCCCUAUAAAUUUUCUACUGGGAAAUUUGAGGUACUCCCAGUAUCUCAGAAUGUGAUGGUAUUUGGAGACAGGGCCUUUAGUUAAAGUGGGGCCAUUAGAAGGUGGCCUAAUCCAGUCUGACUGAUGUCCUUGUAAGAGGAAAUUUGGACUAAAAGAUACCACAGAAUCACACACAGAGGAAAGACCAAGUGAGGAGACAGCAAUCGGGUCAACAUUUGCAAGCCACGAGUGGAGGUCUCGGAAGAAACCAAACCUGCUGACACCUCAACGUUGGACUUCCAGCCUCCAGAACUGUGAGCAAAUAAGUAUCUGUUGCUUAAGCAUUCCCCCUCCCCCAAGACUGUAGUAUGUUGUUAGGGCAGUCCUAGCAAACUAAGACAAAUAUGAC